rnacentral:lncRNA from 1 species
UAUCAUAAAAAGGGGUGGGGGAGAGUAGAUCAGGCAGACACAAUCACUGAAGGAGGAGAGUACAGGAGAUUUAGAGGAAGAAGAUCUGUGAAGAGGUUUGGGAGGAGUUAAGAAGGGAAAGCAAUCAGUCAUUCUUCCAAAGGCCAGUCUGCAGGGCUGGGACUGAGCACAGGCUGAAAUCAAGGUUGGACCACCUCUCAGCCCUUCUCAAGCCCUCCAGGCCUAGCAGUCUCCAUCUGAUCCUGUAUUGGAAAUGGGCAUGGAAGAUGCCACAACUUCUCAAGCUUUCCCUAGGAAAAGGGGUGGGUGAACUUCUGGCCUGAAGAAUCUGAGGAUGGAAGGUCAACUUUGCUCUUCUCCGGGGUUCUGGAACCAGACCUUCCUAACCUGCUCUGCUCACCUGGAGCCCCAGCCCACUGUCACCCAUGCCCUCAUCUCCAGACUGUUCUUCCAGCAAGUAAGAGUCACAGCAGCUAGGCUUGCAAAGCAGAGAUGGUGGGUUGGAGCACCAGCUUCCGUGUCAAGCAGGGCGGGCUGCACUCCCAGCGCCCUGGUGCCUCUGGCUCUCGAGGCUUGUUCCUCAUCUCUAGCUCCCUCACAGAGUUGUCCUGAGGCUCACAAUGGGAACACGUCAAUAAAUUACCUAUUGCAUUAAAAUGAGUUGUUAUUAUUG